UACGUAGGUGACAAGCGUUGUCCGGAUUUACUGGGCGUAAAGAGCGCGCAGGCGGUCGUUCAAGUCGAGUGUGAAAGCCCCCGGCUCAACUGGGGAGGGUCACUUGAUACUGAUCGACUCGAAGGCAGGAGAGGGAAGCGGAAUUCCCGGUGUAGUGGUGAAAUGCGUAGAUAUCGGGAGGAACACCAGUGGCGAAGGCGGCUUCCUGGCCUGUUCCGUGACACUGAGGCACGAAGGCCAGGGGAGCAAACGGG
rnacentral:rRNA from 1 species